rnacentral:rRNA from 1 species
GAUUUCUGGUUUGGCGCGUUCGGCCCUCUCGGGGUCUUCCCCGGUGUGUGUGUCGAUUGCGCGCCUGCCAUCCUUGGCGAGAACGACUCUACCCUUCACUGGGCUCGGAGCCGCGAUCGCCAUCUUUUACUUUGAAAAAAUUAGAGUGUUUAAAGCAGGCUUGUGCUAUGAAUACAUUAGCAUGGAAUAAUAAUUUAGGACUUUGGCCCUAUUUUGUUGGUUUCUAGGACUAAAGUAAUGAUUGAUAGGGAUAGUUGGGGGUGCUAGUAUUCAGCGGCCAGAGGUGAAAUUCUUGGAUUCGCUGAAGACUAACUUAUGCGAAAGCAUU